AUACGUAGGGCGCGAGCGUUGUCCGGAAUUAUUGGGCGUAAAGAGCUCGUAGGCGGUCUGUCGCGUCUGUCGUGAAAGCCCACGGCUUAACUGUGGGUCUGCGGUGGAUACGGGCAGGCUAGAGGCAGGUAGGGGAGCAUGGAAUUCCCGGUGUAGCGGUGAAAUGCGCAGAUAUCGGGAGGAACACCGGUGGCGAAGGCGGUGCUCUGGGCCUGUUCUGACGCUGAGGAGCGAAAGCGUGGGGAGCGAACAGGAUUAGAUACCCUGGUAGUCCACGCCGUAAACGUUGGGCGCUAGGUGUGGGGUUCUUCCACGGAUUCCGCGCCGUAGCUAACGCAUUAAGCGCCCCGCCUGGGGAGUACGGCCGCAAGGCUAAA
rnacentral:rRNA from 1 species